rnacentral:rRNA from 1 species
UACGUAGGGGGCAAGCGUUGUCCGGAUUUACUGGGCGUAAAGCGUGCGUAGGCGGAAGUUUAAGUGUGGCCUGAAAGCCCCCGGCUCAACCGGGGAGGGUGGCUGCAAACUGGGCUUCUUGAGGGGGAUAGAGGAGAGUGGAAUUCCGGGUGUAGCGGUGAAAUGCGUAGAUAUCAGGAAGAACACCCGUGGCGAAAGCGGCUCUCUGGAACGGUACUGACGCUGAGACGCGAAAGCGUGGGGAGCGAACAGG